rnacentral:rRNA from 1 species
AACGAACGCUGGCGGCAUGCCUAACACAUGCAAGUCGAACGGAUCCUUCGGGAUUAGUGGCGGACGGGUGAGUAACACGUGGGAACGUGCCCUUUGGUUCGGAACAACUCAGGGAAACGGGAGCUAAUACCGGAUGUGCCCUUCGGGGGAAAGAUUUAUCGCCAUUGGAGGGGCCCGCGUUUGAUUAGCUAGUUGGUGGGGUAAAGGCCCACCAAGGCGACGAUCAGUAGCUGGUCUGAGAGGAUGAUCAGCCACACUGGGACUGAGACACGGCCCAGACUCCUACGGGAGGCAGCAGGGGGGAAUAUUGGACAAUGGGCGAAAGCCUGAGCCAGCCAUGCCGCGUGAAUGAUGAAGGCCUUAGGGUUGUAAAACUCUUUUACGCGGGAGGAUAAUGACAGUACCCGGAAAAAAAGCCCCGGCUAACUCCGUG